GCGAACGUUUGCCCACACGCCGCCCGAUAAUUAAUACUGUUACGAUAGCUAUCGUUACGAGAUGGCUACGGUAGCUAGCUAGGUAGCAUUAGAUGCCAUUGGAUCUGCAUGGCAGUUAUGAUAAGCUAGCUGGCUAAUCCACCACCCGGUCCUCUUUGCCAGUGCGGCGCUUUUAUCGGACACUUUUAGCUUGACGAGCGGGAAAUAAUUGUAGCUUUCAAUCAUUGUUGUGUGUUUUUUAUUUUAAUGUCGUGGUAUUUCACAUGUCUAGGGACAGACGAGGACACGAGGGCCUUAAUCCCGUGGCGGUCGGUGCACAAAUCCCUCUUCACGGGGAAGAGGAACGCCUCCGUGACUGGAUUUGAGGUCUUCAUAAAGGAGAGCGGGCUUGGGAGGUUGGAUCCCAAGCUCGUGAAAAAGAGGUGGGAGAACCUCAUCCACAAAUAUAAGAGACGUUUCCUGGAGGUGCUGGUGCUGGUUCUGGUGCUGGCUGGUCCUCUGCUGCCCUCCCGACAUCUGCAUCUGGCUCCAGCAGGUCACCGUUGGUGAGGCAGAUGUUGUGGAGCACAGUGCAGCAGACAAUGACCUCUGGCACAAACCUCACAUCCACCUCCAGGGCCUUCAAGAAGAUGGACCGCCAUCGCGUCUUCAGUAUCCCAAAGGACCUCUCCACAACACACCUCGCCUUUGACAGGCAGCAGUUGUAGUGUGCUUGGAGGUGGUUGCGGAUAGGCUGCCUGAAGGGGGUCAUGAGGCAGAUGGGUUGGGACAGGCAGGGGUAGCCACCAUCCCCAAGGAUACAGUAUCCUGGUGGAGGGUAUGACUGCUCAUAGUAGAUGGGGCUGUUUUUUAGGACCCUGGCAUCAUGCACUGAGCCUGGGUAGCCCACACACACAUCUAUAAAUUUGCACUUAUCAUCACAGAUGGCCUGCAGCUGGAUGGAGUGAAAAAGCUUCCUGUUGAAAUAAGAGGCAGCAUCCUCCGCUGGGGGCUUUACUCGGAUGUGGCAGCCAUCAAUAGCCCCCACCACUCUGCUGAAGGCUGCUGACCCAGCUAGACGGGCGAAGCGGGCACCUAGGCGUGGGAGUUCCUCUCCUGUAGGGUGGCGGACAACGGUGUACAGGAGCGCAGCGAUCUGCCCACUCAUCCUGUGCACCAGCCGGUGAACGGUGGCCCGGGGCAUGUCGAAGGCCCUGGCCACCACCCGAUAGGAGGUGGCGCUGGCAAGCCAAAAAAUAAAAACGAGACAGGAGAUCUCA
rnacentral:lncRNA from 1 species